rnacentral:rRNA from 1 species
GACGAACGCUGGCGGCAUGCCUAACACAUGCAAGUCGAACGAGACCUUCGGGUCUAGUGGCUCACGGGUGCGUAACGCGUGGGAACCUGCCUUUAGGUUCGGAAUAACUCAGAGAAAUUUGAGCUAAUACCGGAGGAUGUCUUCGGACCAAAGAUUUAUCGCCUUUAGAUGGGCCCGCGUUGGAUUGGCGAGUUGGUGGGGUAAAGGCCUACCAAGGCGACGAGCCAUAGCUGGUCUGAGCGGAUGAUCAGCCACACUGGGACUGAGACACGGCCCAGACUCCUACGGGAGGCAGCAGUGGGGAAUAUUGGACAAUGGGCGAAAGCCUGAUCCAGCAAUGCCGCGUGAGUGAUGAAGGCCUUAGGGUUGUAAAGCUCUUUUACCCGAGAUGAUAAUGACAGUAGCGGGAGAAUAAGCUCCGGCUAACUACGUG